UACGGAGGGUGCGAGCGUUGUCCGGAAUCACUGGGCGUAAAGGGCGCGUAGGCGGUCGGGGAAGUCCGUGGUGAAAGCUCGUGGCUCAACUGCGAGUCGGCCAUGGAUACUCCUGGACUUGAGCACUGUAGAGGCAGGUGGAAUUCCGGGUGUAGCGGUGGAAUGCGUAGAGAUCGGGAGGAACACCCGUGGCGAAGGCGGCCAACUGGGCCGGACCUGACGCUGAGGCGCGAAGGCGUGGGGAGCGAACGGG
rnacentral:rRNA from 1 species